CCUACGGGAGGCAGCAGUGGGGGAUAUUGCACAAUGGGGGAAACCCUGAUGCAGCGACGCCGCGUGGGUGAAGAAGCGCCUCGGCGCGUAAAGCCCUGUCAGCAGGGAAGAAAAUGAAGGUACCUGAAGAAGAAGCCACGGAUAACUACGUGCCAGCAGCCGCGGUAAUACGUAGGGGGCAAUCGUUAUCCGGAUUUACUGGUUGUAAAGGGGGCGCAGACGGCGAUGCAAGCCAGGAGUGAAAGCCCGGGGCCCAACCCCGGGACUGCUUGUGGACCUGCGUGGCUAGAGUGCAGGAGGGGCAGGCGGAAUUCCUGGUGUAGCGGUGAAAUGCGUAGAUAUCAGGAGGAACACCGGUGGCGAAGGCGGCCUGCUGGACUGCAACUGACGUUGAGGCCCGAAAGCGUGGGGAGCAAACAGGAUUAGAUACCCUGGUAGUC
rnacentral:rRNA from 1 species